ensembl:miRNA cin-mir-31 cin-mir-31
AUGUAACUGGUUCUAUGGCAAGAUGUUGGCAUAGCUAUUUCACAUGAUGUGAUAUAGUGUGCUAAUAUCUAGCUUUGGUACUAGCUUAAGAAAUCAACGCAA